rnacentral:misc_RNA from 1 species
AGUUGCCGUAUUGAUCACCAAGAAAACUGUGAAGAAAAAACGGAUGCAUUUCUCAAAAGGAUAUUCUAUAUUUAUGGAGGGUAUGACAACCGAGAAGGCAUGUCGAAGCUCAAUACUCUCAUGGAAGAAGUUGAGGGAAAGUUUGGAGCAAACAGAAUAUUUUACCUUUCUGUGCCUCAAGAAGCACUUAUCGACGUAGCAUCCUCUCUUGCUGAAAAAGCCCAAACCCGGAGGGGUUGGAAUCGUGUAAUAACUGAAAAACCCUUUGGUCUGGGUUCGUUUUCUUCUCAUCAGUUGACUACCUCCCUUCUCUCAAACUUUGAGGAAAAGCAAUUAUACAG